rnacentral:rRNA from 1 species
GUAGGGGGCAAGCGUUGUCCGGAUUUAUUGGGCGUAAAGCGCUCGCAGGUGGUUCGUCGCGUCGUGCGUGAAAGACCCCGGCUCAACUGGGGAGGGUCGUGCGAUACGGGCGGACUGGAGGCCAGUAGGGGGAUGCGGAAUUCCGGGUGUAGUGGUGGAAUGCGUAGAGAUCCGGAGGAACACCAGCGGCGAAGGCGGCAUCCUGGACUGGUCCUGACACUCAGGAGCGAAAGCGUGGGGAGCGAUCCGGAUUAGAUACCCGGGUAGUCCACGCCGUAAACGAUGCGCACUAGGUGUCGGGGGUAUCGACCCCCUCGGUGCCGCAGCUAACGCGAUAAGUGCGCCGCCUGGGGACUACGGCCGCAAGGCUA